CAAUAGCGUAUAUUAAAGUUGUUGCAGUUAAAAAGCUCGUAGUUGGAUCUCGGGUUUAGGCUGGUGGUUCUGCUCAUGCAGAUACUGCUCGUCCUGACCUACCUGCCGGUUUUCCCUUGGUGCCCUUAACUGGGUGUCUCGGGUGGCCGGAACGUUUACUUUGAAAAAAUUAGAGUGUUCAAAGCAGGCAGUUCGCCUGAAUAAUGGUGCAUGGAAUAAUAGAAAAGGACCUCGGUUCUAUUUUGUUGGUUUUCGGAACUUGAGGUAAUGAUUAAGAGGGACAGACGGGGGCAUUCGUAUUACGGUGUUAGAGGUGAAAUUCUUGGAUCGCCGUAAGACGAACUACUGCGAAAGCAUUUGCCAAGAAUGUUUUCAUUAA
rnacentral:rRNA from 1 species